UGGGGAAUCUUGCGCAAUGGGCGAAAGCCUGACGCAGCAACGCCGCGUGGGGGAUGAAGGCUCUCGGGUUGUAAACCCCUUUCAGCAGGGACGAAAUUGACGGUACCUGCAGAAGAAGCCCCGGCCAACUACGUGCCAGCAGCCGCGGUAAUACGUAGGGGGCGAGCGUUGUCCGGAUUUAUUGGGCGUAAAGAGCUCGUAGGCGGCUUGGCAAGUCGGGUGUGAAAACUCCAGGCUCAACCUGGAGACGCCACUCGAGACUGCUAUGGCUAGAGUCCGGUAGGGGACCACGGAAUUCCUGGUGUAGCGGUGAAAUGCGCAGAUAUCAGGAGGAACACCGGUGGCGAAGGCGGUGGUCUGGGCCGGCACUGACGCUGAGGAGCGAAAGCGUGGGGAGCAAACAG
rnacentral:rRNA from 1 species